AAAUGUAUCGGCAAUUCCUCGUACGACCAGAGGAUCGGAAAUAUCAAAGGAUAUUAUGGCGCAGCGCGAGUGGAGAAACAGAAACAUAUGAGCUUAACACCGUAAUACUCUUAUCAUAGAAAUAGAAGCAGUCCUCAAUUCCCGCCCGCUAACUCCUAUCUCCACCGAUCCAAAUGAUCUCCUAGCCCUCACUCCCGGACAUUUCCUCAUUGGCGAUUCAUUAAUGUGCUUACGUGAUCGAGAUUUCAGAGACAUUCCAUCGAACCGACUCUCCAAAUGGCAGCAUAUCCAACAGCUUAAACAACAUUUUUGGAACCGCUGGCAUAAGGAGUAUUUGAACGAGCUAACCAACCGCAAUAAAUGGAGCAAGGGUGGACACAGCAUCCAAAAGGGCACAAUCGUCAUCCUCAGAGAGGACAACGUUCCCUCCAUGCAUUGGCCUCUGGGCCGAGUUAUCAAGGUUCAUUCAGGCGCCGAUGGUGUCAUCCGGACAGCUACAGUUCAGACGGCAAAGAGCAUUUUGGAUCGGGGCGUCAAAAGGCUUGUCCCACUGCCAAUUCAACCCGAUCUCGAGAAACCCGAACAACUAGCCACCGAGCCGAAAUAAGAUGGGAACUUCAACCACACCUCGCUAGUUUGAUCGGUACCCUCUCAACGGGGGGAGAAUGUUACGCCAUGCGGCUUACCAUAGGUCAUAUUCUUAACUAUCGAUCGCGGCACUAUAAUGUCGCAGACGGAUCGUCGCGUCUGCCCGGCAAACAAACAUUGUAGUGGCAAGCGCAUGGUUCAUUAAGCAGGGCGACUUCCAGAAACGUCGACUCGUGGCCCGUAUUUUACCUCGCAUAAAAGAAUGUGGCGUGAUCCGAACGUAGUGGGGGUCGCCUUCCAGAAAAAACGAAAAAAAUCGAAAGGCGUUCAGAACUUUUCGAGAAGUCGAACCGUCAACACAUGUGGGCAAUCCGGUGGACUUGAUCGGCUUUUUACUUCGAAAGUUGAGUAAUCGGUGUCGCUUUCUUACGCAUCUUUGAACUGUAUAAAUGUUUUAAAAUUGUUUGAUCCAGAAUGUACCACACCGGACAAUCAAGAAGGCAGGUGCCUUGACUACAGAAAAUGUAAACCUCUGCAAGAAAUAUGGCAGAUACAGUACCGUACAGCCACCGAUUUUUAUAGACGAUCAGUGUGCAGAUACCAGGUCAAUGUUACGAUCGUUUGCUGUCCGAACGAUCCAAACAAAGAGAAGAGAGAAAUUUUAAUAAAAACUGUGUAUAAGUAUAAGGCUUUGCGACCACCAUACUGUGGUUUUAGCAACGUCUCUCAUACCAGGGUGGUCGAUGGUAAACCAGCUGAACUUGGAAGAGUAUCUUUUUGCUUGAAAUAAAAAAUUGAUAUAGGAGUAAUAAUAUGGAUAGAGAUCAAAAACUGUUAGGGCAGAAAUUACACGUUUGAACUUUAUAGUUCAGUAUAGUUCAAAUAGAAAUUAUAUAGAAUUAUUUAAUAAUUUGUAUUCCACUGGAAUAAAAAUUUAAUUUCUGUCUUUAUCAAAUCUCUAUUUCAGAGUAUUUGUACGUAUGUACUUAUCGUCUGCUGUAUGAUCGAAUAUCGAAUAGGCGCUUGGCCAUGGAUCGCUGCAUUAGGUUUUCGUAAUCCCCGAAACCCAGACAAACCACUAUGGAAGUGCGGAGGUUCCCUGAUAUCGGCUAGGCAUGUUUUGACCGCAGCACAUUGUGCACAUAUGGAUGGAAUAGAAAACAUACACAAUCAUAAUAUUGCCAUUCUUAGAUAGGUGGAGGAGGUGCCAUUUUCGAGUAAGUCCUCAAAUAUAUAUAUAUAUAUGCUAUUGAGUAUUACUGAAGUAUCAUAUCCUGAAAUUUCUUACUGUACACAUAUAUUGUGUCAUAAAGCGUGUACAAUUCUUUCUCAUACUUUUGGUCAUUCGUUUCCUGCAUUUUCAUUUAUUUUUUUAUUUUUCAGGGUACGUAUAUCCCAUUUGUACGAAAGAGCAACUUCAUCGGCUAUAACCCCCUUGUUGCUGGAUGGGGAGCGUUAAGAUAUAGCAAGUGAUAUCAAUUUUAUAAUAAAAUUAAACAGUUCCAGUCUUAAAUAUCUUUCUCAUUUUCUUCGUAGGACGACCACGACCUAAUGCAUUAAUGGAAGUACAAAUGCCAGUGAUUAAGAACGCCGAAUGCAAAAUAGCUUAUUCCAAAUUUCCUAAUGCACCUGAUAUCACUGAUGGUAUAAUAUGCGCCGAACAUGCUCAGGGUGGAGAGGAUUCUUGUACGGUAAUUAAGUUACAGAGUUACUACAAACUAUACGGUAUCUGAAGACACGUCAAUUCGAAUUAACAUCAAAUCGACGUCUUAAACAUUAAAAAUAA